AGUCCAUGUUAUAGGCAUCAGUGGAGUAAACCCUAGUAUCAUUCCCAAACCUUUGAAUAGCAUUCUGAGUCCAGUUGUUGGAAAGUAGUUAUCUCAUUCCUUAGCCU
rnacentral:snoRNA from 1 species